UACAGAGGUCCCAAGCGUUGUUCGGAUUCACUGGGCGUAAAGGGUGCGUAGGCGGUCGGGUAAGUCUGAUGUGAAAUCUCUGGGCUCAACCCAGAAAUGGCAUUGGAUACUAUCCGGCUUGAGGAGUGGAGGGGGGACUGGAAUACUUGGUGUAGCAGUGAAAUGCGUAGAUAUCAAGUGGAACACCAGUGGCGAAGGCGAGUCCCUGGACACCUCCUGACGCUGAGGCACGAAAGCUAGGGGAGCAAAC
rnacentral:rRNA from 1 species